UGCAGUCGAGCGGAAGGCCCUUCGGGGUACUCGAGCGGCGAACGGGUGAGUAACACGUGAGUAAUCUGCCCUUGGCUUUGGGAUAACUACCGGAAACGGUGGCUAAUACCGGAUACGACAACCGUCUGCAUGGGCUGGUUGUGGAAAGUUUUUUCGGCCAGGGAUGUGCUCGCGGCCUAUCAGCUUGUUGGUGGGGUAAUGGCCUACCAAGGCUUCGACGGGUAGCCGGCCUGAGAGGGUGACCGGCCACACUGGGACUGAGACACGGCCCAGACUCCUACGGGAGGCAGCAGUGGGGAAUAUUGGACAAUGGGCGGAAGCCUGAUCCAGCAACGCCGCGUGAGGGAUGACGGCCUUCGGGUUGUAAACCUCUUUCAGUACCGACGAAGCGCCGAUGAUGGUGGUGACGGUAGGUACAGAAGAAGCACCGGCCAACUACGUGCCAGCAGCCGCGGUAAUACGUAGGGUGCGAGCGUUGUCCGGAAUUAUUGGGCGUAAAGGGCUCGUAGGCGGUUUGUCGCGUCGGGAGUGAAAACCCAGGGCUUAACUCUGGGCUUGCUUUCGAUACGGGCAGACUAGAGGUAUGCAGGGGAGAACGGAAUUCCUGGUGUAGCGGUGAAAUGCGCAGAUAUCAGGAGGAACACCGGUGGCGAAGGCGGUUCUCUGGGCAUUACCUGACGCUGAGGAGCGAAAGUGUGGGGAGCGAACAGGAUUAGAUACCCUGGUAGUCCACACCGUAAACGUUGGGCGCUAGGUGUGGGGCCUAUUCCAUGGGUUCCGUGCCGCAGCUAACGCAUUAAGCGCCCCGCCUGGGGAGUACGGCCGCAAGGCUAAAACUCAAAGGAAUUGACGGGGGNCCGCACAAGCGGCGGAGCAUGCGGAUUAAUUCGAUGCAACGCGAAGAACCUUACCUGGGUUUGACAUACGCCGGAAAGCCNUAGAGAUAUGGCCCCUUUUUNGUCGGUGUACAGGUGGUGCAU
rnacentral:rRNA from 1 species